rnacentral:lncRNA from 1 species
GCCGACCACCUCCUACUCACCCUCUCAGCCUCAUCUCCUCAUUCCCUCUCCGAUUCCACAGAACCCCAAUGUAAGAAGCUCCCAAAUUCUGAAAUCCCCAAAAUCCCUAACCCUUUCCUUCGUCGAUUUCAAGGGAGAGGCAGUCGGAGCAUCGCCUUGCCGUCGCAGCACAGCAGCAGCGUCGCUCAGCCACCUUCUCUCUCGAUCGACGAACGGACGGCGCUAAUAGGCAACCGCCGCCGCGAUUCAUCACCACCAUCUCCGAUUCUCCCUAAACCGCAUCUUCCUCCCCUCUGAAUUGCGGCCAGCAGCUCGAAAUACCGCCGCCGCCCCGGACGUCCAGCCCGACUACUCGCCGGAACCCCAUCCAGCCACGCCAUCGCCGCCUCCUCCUUCUGGCCUAACCCGCCGAGCAUCAGCAUUUAGAACCGCCGCCGUGCCUCUCAGUCCCCGACUUGCCUCGACUCACCCCACAUCCGACAGCAAGUUAUUCCCUUAUUCCAAUUUAAAAACUUAUUUCUACUCAUUUAUUCACUUGAAGAAAAACUUGAUUCUGUUUAUGAAAUAAAUGCUUCAGAUUAUGCAAAGUAUAUGCAU